AACGAACGCUGGCGGCGUGCCUAACACAUGCAAGUCGAGCGCGAAAGGAGCAAUCCGAGUAGAGUGGCGCACGGGUGCGUAACACGUGGAUAAUCUGCCUCAGGGUUGAGGAUAACCUUCCGAAAGGUUGGCUAAUACUCGGUAAGCUUACGGUGACUUCGGUCGCUGUGAGAAAACUAGACCUCUAUUUAUAAGUUUAGGCCCAGAGAUGAGUCCGCGGCCCAUCAGCUAGUUGGCGGGGUAACGGCCCACCAAGGCUACGACGGGUAGCUGGUCUGAGAGGACGAUCAGCCACACUGGAACUGAGACACGGUCCAGACUCCUACGGGAGGCAGCAGUGGGGAAUUUUCCACAAUGGGCGAAAGCCUGAUGGAGCAACGCCGCGUGUGUGAUGAAGGUCUUCGGAUCGUAAAGCACUUUCGACUGGGACGAAAAACCUUUGGCUAACAUCCAGGGGCCUGACGGUACCAGGAGAAGAAGCACCGGCUAACUCUGUGCCAGCAGCCGCCGUAACAC
rnacentral:rRNA from 1 species